UCCCCAAUGAUGUCAGUCUAGAGCAGCCCCUUCAGAACAAUUGCAGUAAUGACACAAGGGAUCACGGUCAUGUCAGGUCUGCCAGAAUAGAUUUUUUAAUUGCUGUUUGUGGUUUUUUUUUUGUCACCCGCUUUGUAGACACAUUUAAUUACAGAUGCAACUUAAGUCAUUUAUAUGUCUUUCUGACUGACAGAUAUAUUGGUUUAUGUCCUAGCUGCAAAAUUAUGCCCACAGAAUGCCAAAGAAAAAGAAACACAUUUUCAAAAAAUUCAGUUGAUCUUAAUAAGGCUGUUUUCUAAACCAGUGUGAUGCCUCAGGUGCAGAAGAGAGAGACAAUAAUUAACAAUGUGGCCUACAGCAUCUUGGGGAACAAUUAAUUUUAGUGAAUGGACAGGGGGAGGAAGAGAGAAGCUGUCAGGAAGGAGUUCCUAUAGGAUCUCCUCUGACGUGUCUAGCUGGCAAAUAGCCAUAUCCAACUGCAGGACCCAUGUGCCAUGUGAGUACAGCUGGAGAGAUGGGGAUGUGCUGCUGAGCUUUUGGACUGUCUGUGUAAUCUCCAGGUAGGAAUCCAGCAGAAAUGCUGAGGGAGGAACACCACCACACUUGACUUCUUUACUUCUUUUUCACAUCCCUCUGUCCCUUCCUCUUCACACACUGGUACCCAUGCUAAAUGAAGAGACUAUUUGAAGCAGCAGAAGAAACUUGCUAUGUUGUUUCUGAGAGUGAGAUAUCACAGAUGUGACUGCUUGGUUCUGUGUGAAGCAUGGGAAAAUGAGGUAUUUCAAGACUGGUUCAUCUGAAAAGUGCAUGGUCAUAUUUGGAAAAUGGCUGUGCUAGUAACAGGCAUCUGAAACCUUAAUUAUGAGCCCAAAUAAGGUGGUUUAUAAACCUUUGACUUUAUUCUAGAAUUUUGUAAUAUCACAAGUAUGUUUGCAGUAGAGAGGAAACAACAUGCCCCACUGGAAAGCUAGCAGUGCAUUUAUCCCUUCAGGGAACAAACUCAUUUGCCCUUUCCCUUUUAUGUCUGCUUAUUCAAACAAUUAAAUAAACUUUAAAAAAUAAAAGCA
rnacentral:lncRNA from 1 species